CGACCGGCGCACGGGUGCGUAACGCGUAUGCAACCUACCUUUAACGGGGGGAGUAACACUGAGAAAUUGGUACUAAUACCCCAUAAUAUCAUAGAAGGCAUCUUUUAUGGUUGAAAAUUCCGAUGGUUAGAGAUGGGCAUGCGUUGUAUUAGCUAGUUGGUGGGGUAACGGCUCACCAAGGCGACGAUACAUAGGGGGACUGAGAGGUUAACCCCCCACACUGGUACUGAGACACGGACCAG
rnacentral:rRNA from 1 species